rnacentral:tRNA from 1 species
GCGGUCGUGGCGGAAUUGGCAGACGCGCACGGUUCAGGUCCGUGUGGGCUAACCCCGUGGAGGUUCGAGUCCUCUCGACCGCA